GGGAGAUGAUGAGUGGUAAAAUCUCGCAUUUUUACUGCGAGAGGGGUGCCUGCCCCGAAUAAGCCUGUUACGACAACAGGGCACUCCAAUCGUUUACCAUCUGAUCCC
rfam:Dichanthelium oligosanthes cultivar Kellogg 1175 unplaced genomic scaffold Do_version_2_scaffold2139, whole genome shotgun sequence.